rnacentral:lncRNA from 1 species
GCCGGAGCGCCCGCCAUGGGCAGUGCUCCCUGCUAGGUGCUGUGGUCUACCCAUGGCAGAUGGAUGACUGCACACACUGUCGGCUCUAUUCCUGGGCCUUGGCCCAAGCGUCUCGGAGGCUGAAGACAACCCCAGGUUCUCUUUCUUCUACACACCCCAGCCACCGAAGACCUAAAACCACAAGUGACGUCUCUGACCCUCAUCUCCCCCACGCAGAGGUCACCAAGACCUGUUGAUUCCUUCUCCUUCGUGUCUCUCAGAUUGACUUCUUCAGUCUCUCCCCACUGCCCUGACCCUGGUUCAGCCUUCCACCCAACACCCUUCUCACCACCUGUGUCUCAACUCCACUUGCCCUCCAAUUCCUCCGUUCCAGUUUGGCCCAACUAUAUAAAAGGUAAAAAGGAUCCUGUGACUUUCACUGUUGAAAGCCCUUCAGCGGCAACCUGGUGCCUCACAGCAAAGAGGUCGGGUCUCUCUGUGACUUGGGCAGCUGGUGGCUGCCUCUCUAACCU